CCAUUUCUGUGACUCUGCAGGCAAUCUUUUUUAUCCUGUUUUUGUGCAAGCUGAAUUGGCAGAAAGCUGCUGAAGAGGCUGUUUUAAGAGCCGGAAUCAAAACCUCACAAAGAAAACAAGUGGACCAGAUGGAAAAUCCAGACUCAAAUCAAGGCCAAGAUCUGGUCAUGAAUCCUCAUGUGAGAG